UAGGGAUUAUGGAGCAUCUAAGGGGUGGCAGAGCUUGGACUGAUAAAGCAGCCUUGUUUCACACUAACCUAAUCCCCCUGUGUCAAUACACAGAUAAAGCUUCAAAUGCUGUGUGCAAAAGAGUAAAGUCAAUAGGGAAGUGAAGAGAGGAGGAUAUGACAGACCAGAUCCAAUCCUGCAUCCUUAGAAACCUGCAGCUCCAAAGUGGAUAUAGCAGCUCUGACAAGAGUUCCCUCUUUUAAGUGCUGACGGGGAUGGUUUGCUCUAAGGAUUGAGCCCACACAGAGGGGGAGCAGCUGAGGGUUACUUUCCUCAGGCGUCUCCGGACACACAUUCAGUUCAUGGCACAAGAGGCCAUUCAGCAUUACACAGAGUCGGGGCCUUCACAGCAUUCUUCUCACAGCUCAUUGCGCGAGGGCUGCCCAUUCACCACGCAACAGAUCAGGACGCGAGCGCAGAGCGAUACAAGAGACCUUCGAUUAUCCGAGACAAACUGCUGCAGCAUUUCAAUAUGACUGAGCUUCAUAAUGGGUCAGUGAAUAACAAACGUCUUAUCUUGAGGAAAAGAAGGUGCAAGAACAUCAUUGACUAAUGAGCAUGUUGAAUUUUCCACCUGAGAGAACCUCAUGAAAUUCAUAGAGGGACUGAUUUGUUUCUUCACUCCAUUACAAAUCCCACCGCACACCUCCAGCUCUGACAGAAUCAGUGGAUGGAGUUUAAUUACACUGUUUGGGGACCCUCACAUUAGUGUUUGGAUCUGCAUCCUAAUAUCUGUUAAUAAGGCCAUUACGCAAUAGUUUUCAUUUCACCUGAUUGGUUUUCCUCAAGACCAGAGAGAAGGCAUGAGGUGCUGAUGGAUGAUUGGUCUGUCCUGACACACACUGAAUCCAUGAAAAGAGGAUGAGGCGAGAGGGUCUAUGCAUAGCUCAAAAUUCACAUCAUGAAAAGAAAUACUGGUAGCCCGGGGGAGACGAAUGCUUAGAUUUAAUGUGCAUUUCUUUGAUGUGCUCUCAGUAGUAUUACAGAACAAAGAAUAUUUAAAACAUGCUACAGAGCUGAAAGAUAUCUGCUCACUAAUUUUCAUAUUCAAGUGUCCAGUUUGCGUCAUAUUUUUUAAAAAACUCUAUUCUCUAAACUCUGUUCUCUCUAUAUAUUCCCAAUGCAUUCAUGAGAAAAGAAACAGAGAAAGACUGAUAUAGAGUAGUGAUUCCCAACCUUUUUUGUCACACAAUUCCCCAAUGAGUAAGGCUCAAUAAACAUGACAUGUGUUGUGUUAAACUGGAUAUAUCACUCAGCAUAUAUCGUAAAUUUAAGUGGCUAUUAUUACAAUGAUUCUCUUUCAAACCAAACAUGAUCAAUAUCAUCAGUACCUUCAACAUCUGAUACAACUCAGUCUUUUUAAGCAUUUCUAUGUGCACAUGUGAAAAACAUUCUCAAAGAAAGCUAACAA